rnacentral:rRNA from 1 species
GAUGAACGCUGGCGGCGUGCCUAAUACAUGCAAGUCGAGCGAACAGACGAGGAGCUUGCUCCUCUGACGUUAGCGGCGGACGGGUGAGUAACACGUGGAUAACCUACCUAUAAGACUGGGAUAACUUCGGGAAACCGGAGCUAAUACCGGAUAAUAUAUUGAACCGCAUGGUUCAAUAGUGAAAGACGGUUUUGCUGUCACUUAUAGAUGGAUCCGCGCGGCAUUAGCUAGUUGGUAAGGUAACGGCUUACUAAGGCGACGAUGCGUAGCCGACCUGAGAGGGUGAUCGGCCACACUGGAACUGAGACACGGUCCAGACUCCUACGGGAGGCAGCAGUAGGGAAUCUUCCGCAAUGGGCGAAAGCCUGACGGAGCAACGCCGCGUGAGUGAUGAAGGUCUUCGGAUCGUAAAACUCUGUUAUUAGGGAAGAACAAAUGUGUAAGUAACUAUGCACGUCUUGACGGUACCUAAUCAGAAAGCCACGGCUAACUACGUG